GAUAUUGGUCCAAGACUAGUAGCUCUGAUACUGCUACAAAGAGAAUAUUUUCUCCAAUAUCU
rnacentral:tRNA from 1 species